ACGAACGCUGGCGGCGUGCUUAACACAUGCAAGUCGAGCGGAAAGGCCCUUCGGGGUACUCGAGCGGCGAACGGGUGAGUACCACGUGAGUAACCUGCCCCAGACUUUGGGAUAACCCUCGGAAACGGGGGCUAAUACCGGAUACGACACAGCUUCGCAUGGGGUCUGUGUGGAAAGUUUUUCGGUUUGGGAUGGGCUCGCGGCCUAUCAGCUUGUUGGUGGGGUGAUGGCCUACCAAGGCGACGACGGGUAGCCGGCCUGAGAGGGCGACCGGCCACACUGGGACUGAGACACGGCCCAGACUCCUACGGGAGGCAGCAGUGGGGAAUAUUGCACAAUGGGCGGAAGCCUGAUGCAGCGACGCCGCGUGAGGGAUGACGGCCUUCGGGUUGUAAACCUCUUUCAGCAGGGACGAAGCGUAAGUGACGGUACCUGCAGAAGAAGCGCCGGCCAACUACGUG
rnacentral:rRNA from 1 species